GUGCUUGCUUUGGCAGCACAUAUACUAAACUUGAAUGACACAGAGAUUAGCAUGGUCCCUGGAUAAAGAUGACAUACAAAUUCAUGAAGAGUUUAAUAUUAAA